GGGAAAUUAAAAAAUUAGAUGUCCGUGGAAAUCCAUGGACAUCUAAUAUUACGGACUUUUAAUCCGUUUGUCGUGGGUUCGACCCCCGCACAUCCCACCA
rnacentral:tRNA from 1 species